UGGUGCCAGCAGCCGCGGUAAUUCCAGCUCCAAUAGCGUAUAUUAAAGUUGUUGCAGUUAAAAAGCUCGUAGUUGGAUCUCGGGCGCCGGCCGGCGGUCCACCCUCACCGGGUGGUACUGCCGCGCUCCGGGCCUACCAUCCGAUCGCGGCCGGUUUGUGCUCUUGGUUGAGUGCCCGGUCUGGUCGGAACGUUUACUUUGAAAAAAUUAGAGUGUUCAAAGCAGGCUCGACGGCCUGAAUAAUGGUGCAUGGAAUAAUGGAAUAGGACCUCGGUUCUAUUUUGUUGGUUUUCGGAACUGGAGGUAAUGAUUAAGAGGGACAGACGGGGGCAUUCGUAUUACGGUGUUAAAGGUGAAAUUCUUGGAUCGCCGUAAAACGAACUACUGCGAAAGCAUUUGCCAA
rnacentral:rRNA from 1 species